ACGGAGAUAUUUUGAAAGCUUGCUGAUAAAUAUCUUAGUGGCGCACGGGUGAGUAACACGUGGGCAACCUGCCCGGAAGUCCGGGAUAACAGCCAGAAAGUGCUGCUAAUACCGGAUACCCUCACGGGACCGCAUGGUUUUGUGGGGAAAGAUAUAUUGCUUCCGGAUGGGCCUGCGUCCCAUUAGCUAGUUGGUGAGGUAACGGCUCACCAAGGCGACGAUGGGUAGCUGGUCUGAGAGGACGAUCAGCCACACUGGAACUGAGACACGGUCCAGACUCCUACGGGAGGCAGCAGUGGGGAAUCUUGCGCAAUGGGCGAAAGCCUGACGCAGCAACGCCGCGUGAACGAUGAAGGCCUUCGGGUCGUAAAGUUCUGUCAGGGGGGGCGAUAAUGACGGUACCCCCGGAGGAAGCCCCGGCUAACUACGUGCCAGCAGCCGCGGUAAUACGUAGGGGGCGAGCGUUGUCCGGAAUUACUGGGCGUAAAGGGCGUGUAGGCGGCCGAUCAAGUCAGGUGUGAAAUGCCAGGGCUCAACCCUGGACGUGCACUUGAAACUGGUUGGCUUGAG
rnacentral:rRNA from 1 species